rnacentral:rRNA from 1 species
ACGCUGGCGGCAGGCCUAACACAUGCAAGUCGAGCGGUAGAGAGAAGCUUGCUUCUCUUGAGAGCGGCGGACGGGUGAGUAAUGCCUAGGAAUCUGCCUGGUAGUGGGGGAUAACGUUCGGAAACGGACGCUAAUACCGCAUACGUCCUACAGGAGAAAGCAGGGGACCUUCGGGCCUUGCGCUAUCAGAUGAGCCUAGGUCGGAUUAGCUAGUUGGUGAGGUAAUGGCUCACCAAGGCGACGAUCCGUAACUGGUCUGAGAGGAUGAUCAGUCACACUGGAACUGAGACACGGACCAGACUCCUACGGGAGGCAGCAGUGGGGAAUAUUGGACAAUGGGCGAAAGCCUGAUCCAGCCAUGCCGCGUGUGUGAAGAAGGUCUUCGGAUUGUAAAGCACUUUAAGUUGGGAGGAAGGGCAGUUACCUAAUACGUGAUUGUUUUGACGUUACCGACAGAAUAAGCACCGGCUAACUCUGUGCCAGCAGCCGCGGUAAUACAGAGGGUGCAAGCGUUAAUCGGAAUUACUGGGCGUAAAGCGCGCGUAGGUGGUUUGUUAAGUUGGAUGUGAAAUCCCCGGGCUCAACCUGGGAACUGCAUUCAAAACUGACGGACUAGAGUAUGGUAGAGGGUGGUGGAAUUUCCUGUGUAGCGGUGAAAUGCGUAGAUAUAGGAAGGAACACCAGUGGCGAAGGCGACCACCUGGACUGAUACUGACACUGAGGUGCGAAAGCGUGGGGAGCAAAC